GCCAGGUGACCUUGGGCCGAAUACAACCCUUGGGAUGCAACCUGCUUUAUGAGGUGACUAAGGCAGGGGGUUGGGGGCGACAGAGAGGCCGAGUAGGCAGUGAUGAUAAUGGCCAGCAUUCAUGCCAGGCCUUCCUCAAGGCGGGCUCCCAUCUCACCUGGCACCCUGCUGCAGGAAGAGGAGGGACUAUUAUCCCCACAGAACAGGAGCAAAACCAGGACUGCUAAGCACCAGCAGCAGUGGAGUCAGAUUCGAAGGCCACAGUGCUGUAGGCAGAUGUCCUCGUGAUGCUCUCUGCCACUAGGUCUAAAAGAAGGAAAGGAACAAGAGAAAAUGAAACCAGGAGGGACAGCCAAGGUAGAAGGAGGACCUACUACAUGCAAGGCCUGCUUCAUGACACUGGAAGUUUUGUUCCUUUUUCCGGAAAGUUCUGUUGUGCAAGGUGGGAGAACAGAUACUCAUGUGGGUGUGCUAAAGACAAGUUUAUCAGCAUCCCGACAGAGGAUGGCUCUGCAGCGAGGAGAGGAUGGAGCCAGCUCCCUUGGGGAUGGCUCCAAGGGCCCCUUCUUCCCACCCACAGAGGCGCAGGACAAGCCCUUGCAGCUACCGGGCAGACGGCACUUGGCAGGUAUGUCCAGGGCGGGAAUCGAGGUGGCUGCAGGGCGGCUCGUGUGGCAUUCACUCACUGUGGAGUGUGACGACUCUGCCAGAACUGAGAACGAAUUCAGGUCACUUGUAGGAAAGUGA
rnacentral:lncRNA from 1 species